rnacentral:rRNA from 1 species
GGAAUAUUGGACAAUGGGCGAAAGCCUGAUCCAGCCAUGCCGCGUGUGUGAAGAAGGUCUUCGGAUUGUAAAGCACUUUAAGUUGGGAGGAAGGGCAGUAAAUUAAUACUUUGCUGUUUUGACGUUACCGACAGAAUAAGCACCGGCUAACUCUGUGCCAGCAGCCGCGGUAAUACAGAGGGUGCAAGCGUUAAUCGGAAUUACUGGGCGUAAAGCGCGCGUAGGUGGUUUGUUAAGUUGAAUGUGAAAUCCCCGGGCUCAACCUGGGAACUGCAUCCAAAACUGGCAAGCUAGAGUAGGGCAGAGGGUGGUGGAAUUUCCUGUGUAGCGGUGAAAUGCGUAGAUAUAGGAAGGAACACCAGUGGCGAAGGCGACCACCUGGGCUCAUACUGACACUGAGGUGCGAAAGCGUGGGGAGCAAACAGGAUUAGAUACCCGGG